GGAUUAGAUACCCUGGUAGUCCACGCCCUAAACGUUGCACACUAGAUGUAUGGGGUAUCAAUUCCCCAUGUGUCGGAGCUAACGCAUUAAGUGUGCCGCCUGGGGAGUAUGCUCGCAAGGGUGAAACUCAAAGGAAUUGACGGGGGCCCGCACAAGCGGUGGAGCAUGUGGUUUAAUUCGAUGAUACGCGAGGAACCUUACCAGGGCUUGACAUCAUGGUGACCGGUUGUGAAAGCAACCUUUCUUCGGACACCAUGACAGGUGCUGCAUGGCUGUCGUCAGCUCGUGCUG
rnacentral:rRNA from 1 species